rnacentral:misc_RNA from 1 species
GAUGAAGAACGUAGCGAAAUGCGAUAAGUAAUGUGAAUUGCAGAAUUCAGUGAAUCAUCGAAUCUUUGAACGCACAUUGCGCCCGGUAGUAUUCUGCCGGGCAUGCCUGUUCGAGCGUCAUUUCAACCAUCAAGCCCCAGCGCUUGUGUUGGGGGCCUGCGGCUGCCGCAGCCCCCUAAAAGCAGUGGCGGGCUCGCUAUCACACCGAGUGCAGUAGUUCAUCUUCUCUCCGGUCUUGUGAGGCGGGUUCCGGCCGUGAAACACCCCACUACAUUCAAGGUUGACCUCGGAUCAGGUAGGAAUACCCGCUGAACUUAAGCAUACCAAUAAGCGGAGGA